AACGAACGCUGGCGGCAGGCCUAACACAUGCAAGUCGAGCGAGGACUUCGGUCCUAGCGGCGGACGGGUGAGUAACGCGUGGGAACGUGCCCUUUGCUUCGGAAUAGCCCUGGGAAACUGGGAGUAAUACCGGAUGAGCCCUUUGGGGGAAAGAUUUAUCGGCGAAGGAUCGGCCCGCGUUGGAUUAGGUAGUUGGUGGGGUAAUGGCCUACCAAGCCGACGAUCCAUAGCUGGUUUGAGAGGAUGAUCAGCCACACUGGGACUGAGACACGGCCCAGAAUCCUACGGGAGGGAGGAGUGGGGGAUCUUAGACAAUGGGGGGAACCCUGAUCUAGCCAUGGCGCGUGAGCGAUGAAGGCCUUAGGGUUGUAAAGCUCUUUCAGCUGGGAAGAUAAUGACGGUACCAGCAGAAGAAGCCCCGGCUAACUCCGUG
rnacentral:rRNA from 1 species